CCCCUAGAUGUUCUGGGCCGCACGCGCGCUACACUGAACAGUUCAACAAGUCUUAACCUUGGCCGAUAGGUCUGGGUAAUCUUUGAACGCUGUUCGUGAUUGGGAUAGACCUUUGCAAUUAUGGGUCUUCAACGAGGAAUUCCUAGUAAACGCAAGUCAUCAGCUUGCAUUGAUUACGCCCCUGCCCUUUGUACACACCGCCCGUCGCACCUACCGAUUGAAUGGUCCGGUGAAAUCUCGGGACGGCGGCUUGGUCGCUUGCGUCCGACUGCUGAAACUUGAUUAAACCAUNUNAUUUAGNGGAAGGUGAANUCGUANCA
rnacentral:rRNA from 1 species